rnacentral:misc_RNA from 1 species
UUUCCGUAGGUGAACCUGCGGAAGGAUCAUUACUGAGUUUUGAAUAAAGUUGUUCUGGUCUUUCGGGGCAAGUGAACGCUUCUCUCAAUCCAUCUUACACCUGUGCACCUAUCGGGGAAGACUUGGAUCUAAGUUGGGUCACGACGGCGAUCUACAGUCUCCUCUUUAUACCAAAUAACAGUUUUAGAAAGUCUUUUUUGCUUGAUGCAAACUUAAAUAAAUACAACUUUCAGCAACGGAUCUCUUGGCUCUC